rnacentral:tRNA from 1 species
AACAAGAUGGUUGAAUUAUAAACAAUAAACUGUAAAUUUAUUUAUGAGCUUAGCUCUCUUGUAA